rnacentral:rRNA from 1 species
UACGUAGGGUGCAAGCGUUAAUCGGAAUUACUGGGCGUAAAGCGUGCGCAGGCGGUUUUGUAAGUUUGACGUGAAAUCCCCGGGCUCAACCUGGGAAUUGCGUUGGAGACUGCAAGGCUAGAAUCUGGCAGAGGGGGGUAGAAUUCCACGUGUAGCAGUGAAAUGCGUAGAGAUGUGGAGGAACACCGAUGGCGAAGGCAGCCCCCUGGGUCAAGAUUGACGCUCAUGCACGAAAGCGUGGGGAGCAAACAGG